rnacentral:lncRNA from 1 species
AGCAUCUAUGAUGGCUCUUUAAAGAAGACCGACACAGCAGUCCAUAGCUCCCAAAAGUGUAUGAGCAGGGAAUAAAUAUAUCAUACGCCCAUAAUAUGAACACCCACAAAAGCUCUGCAUGGGUGGGGAAAAGAAUGAAUGAGGAAGAUGUAAGUAGAGUAAAUCCAUAGAGAGGUUGAUUUUGUUGUUGAACUCUUGUUUGACAUGUUGUGUUAUAAGGACAAGGAUAUGUGUGGCAUUUGGUUCUGCACGCAAUUUUGAUUCCCUGCUUGCAUCAUUAACACUAGUAGAGUUUGUAUAUUACAGAGAAUAGAAGAAGAAAAAAAAAGAGUAGGGUUCAUGUGUGUUACUUGGCAUGAGACGUGUUUAUCAGAUUGAUCAUGGAAGAAGGUUAGUAUCAGAGAUCUUUAUGCUAGUUGAGAAGGCAGUCUUAGUUUUCUCAGGAAUACUAUUGUAUCAGAUCCUGAAUAAAGCAAUGAUCACUAGGAAUGAAAACUCCAAACUCCCAACAUAAUCCUAAUAAGAAACAAGGGUUCGGUUGAUUGAUGCAUACAACAAGCUAUGGUAAA